GAUGAACGCUAGCUACAGGCUUAACACAUGCAAGUCGCGGGGCAGCAUUUCAGUUUGCUUGCAAACUGGAGAUGGCGACCGGCGCACGGGUGAGUAACACGUAUCCAACCUGCCGAUAACUCGGGGAUAGCCUUUCGAAAGAAAGAUUAAUACCCGAUGGUAUAAUCAGACCGCAUGGUUUGAUUAUUAAAGAAUUUCGGUUAUCGAUGGGGAUGCGUUCCAUUAGGCAGUUGGUGAGGUAACGGCUCACCAAACCUUCGAUGGAUAGGGGUUCUGAGAGGAAGGUCCCCCACAUUGGAACUGAGACACGGUCCAAACUCCUACGGGAGGCAGCAGUGAGGAAUAUUGGUCAAUGGGCGCAGGCCUGAACCAGCCAAGUAGCGUGAAGGAUGACUGCCCUAUGGGUUGUAAACUUCUUUUAUAUGGGAAUAAAGUUUUCCACGUGUGGAAUUUUGUAUGUACCAUAUGAAUAAGGAUCGGCUAACUCCGUGCCAGCAGCCGCGGUAAUACGGAGGAUCCGAGCGUUAUCCGGAUUUAUUGGGUUUAAAGGGAGCGUAGGUGGACAGUUAAGUCAGUUGUGAAAGUUUGCGGCUCAACCGUAAAAUUGCAGUUGAUACUGGCUGUCUUGAGUACAGUAGAGGUGGGCGGAAUUCGUGGUGUAGCGGUGAAAUGCUUAGAUAUCACGAAGAACUCCGAUUGCGAAGGCAGCUCACUGGACUGCAACUGACACUGAUGCUCGAAAGUGUGGGUAUCAAACAGGAUUAGAUACCCUGGUAGUCCACACAGUAAACGAUGAAUACUCGCUGUUUGCGAUAUACAGUAAGCGGCCAAGCGAAAGCAUUAAGUAUUCCACCUGGGGAGUACGCCGGCAACGGUGAAACUCAAAGGAAUUGACGGGGGCCCGCACAAGCGGAGGAACAUGUGGUUUAAUUCGAUGAUACGCGAGGAACCUUACCCGGGCUUAAAUUGCAUUUGAAUAAUCUGGAAACAGGUUAGCCGCAAGGCAAAUGUGAAGGUGCUGCAUGGUUGUCGUCAGCUCGUGCCGUGAGGUGUCGGCUUAAGUGCCAUAACGAGCGCAACCCUUAUCUUUAGUUACUAACAGGUCAUGCUGAGGACUCUAGAGAGACUGCCGUCGUAAGAUGUGAGGAAGGUGGGGAUGACGUCAAAUCAGCACGGCCCUUACGUCCGGGGCUACACACGUGUUACAAUGGGGGGUACAGAAGGCAGCUACCUGGUGACAGGAUGCUAAUCCCAAAAGCCUCUCUCAGUUCGGAUCGAAGUCUGCAACCCGACUUCGUGAAGCUGGAUUCGCUAGUAAUCGCGCAUCAGCCAUGGCGCGGUGAAUACGUUCCCGGGCCUUGUACACACCGCCCGUCAAGCCAUGAAAGCCGGGGGUACCUGAAGUACGUAACCGCAAGGAGCGUCCUAGGGUA
rnacentral:rRNA from 1 species